AAGGAGGUGACAGAGUGGUUAUGUGACUGGCUUGAAACCGGUAGAUGGGGGUUCAAUUCCUCCCUUCCUCG
rnacentral:tRNA from 4 species